UAGAGUUUGAUCCUGGCUCAGGAUGAACGCUGGCGGCGUGCCUAAUACAUGCAAGUCGAACGAGGAGCCUUUUUACUUGUAUUCGUACUCGUAAGAAGGAUUUCCUAGUGGCGAACGGGUGAGUAUCGCGUUGGUGACCUGCCCCAAAGAGAGGAAUAACAGUUCGAAAGGAUUGCUAAUACCUCAUGUUGUCAUGGUUUUUAGAAACCCAUGUCUAAAGGAGACUUGUCUUCACUUUGGGAGGGGCCUGCGUCCCAUCAGCUAGUUGGUAAGGUAACGGCUUACCAAGGCGACGACGGGUAGGGGACCUGAGAGGGUGGCCCCCCACAAUGGAACUGAAACACGGUCCAUACACCUACGGGUGGCAGCAGUAGGGAAUAUUGCACAAUGGACGAAAGUCUGACCGAGCGACGCCGCGUGAGCGAUGAAGGCCCUUGGGUCGUAAAGCUCUGUCAGGAGGGAAUAAGUGCCUGUGGUUAAUACCCGCAGGAAUUGAAGGUACCUCCAGAGGAAGCACCGGCUAACUAUGUGCCAGCAGCCGCGGUAAUACAUAGGGUGCAAACGUUGUUCGGAUUUACUGGGUUUAAAGGGUUCGUAGGCGGGCUAUUAAGUCAGAGGUGAAAGCCAACGGCUCAACCGUUGAAUUGCCUCUGAUACUGGUAGUCUUGAGUCGUUAGGGGAUGGGUGGAAUUCCUGGUGUAGCGGUGAAAUGCGUAAAUAUCAGGAGGAACACCAGUGGGCGAGGCNGGCAUCUGGGAACGUACUGACGCUAAGGAACGAAGGCAUGGGUAUCAAACGGGGAUAGAUACCCCGGGUAGUCCAUGCUGUAAACGGAUGGGGCACUAGGGUUUGGANGGGUCUUACCCCUUCGGUGCCGAAGGCUAACGCGUUAAGUAUUCCACUGGGGAAGUACGCUCGCNAGAGUGAACUCAANGGAAUUGACGGGGGCCCGCACNAGCGGUGGAUCAUGUGGUUUAAUUCGAUGCAACGCGAAGAACCUUACCAGGGCUUAAAUGUAGUCUGACAGCUUNAGAGAUAGAGUUUUCUUCGGACAGAUUACAAGGUGCUGCAUGGUNGUCGUCAGCUCGUGCCGUGAGGUGUCAGGUUAAGUCCUAUAACGAGCGCAACCCCUGUCGUUAGUUGCCAGCGAGUCAUGUCGGGGACUCUAACGAGACUGCCGGUGCAAACCGCGAGGAAGGUGGGGAUGACGUCAAAUCAUCACGGCCCUUACGUCCUGGGCCACACACGUGCUACAAUGGUAGGUACAGAGAGCAGCCAGCAUGCGAAUGCGAGCGAAUCUAUAAAGCCUAUCACAGUUCGGAUCGGAGUCUGCAACUCGACUCCGUGAAGCUGGAAUCGCUAGUAAUCGGAUAUCAGCCAUGAUCCGGUGAAUACGUUCCCGGGCCUUGUACACACCGCCCGUCAAGCCAUGGAAGCUGGGAGUACCUGAAGUUCGUCACCGCAAGGAGCGACCUAGGGUAAGAUCGGUAACUAGGGCUAAGUCGUAACAAGGUAACCA
rnacentral:rRNA from 1 species